GUUGUAGUCUGGAGAAGUGCUUUCUGUGCUGGACCGUGUAUAAGUCUCUUGGAAUAGAGCGUCAUAGAGGGUGAGAAUCCCGUCUUUGACACGGACUACCAGUGCUCUGUGAUGCGCUCUCAAAGAGUCGAGUUGUUUGGGAAUGCAGCUCAAAAUGGGUGGUAAAUUCCAUCUAAAGCUAAAUAUUGGCGAGAGACCGAUAGCGAACAAGUACCGUGAGGGAAAGAUGAAAAGCACUUUGGAAAGAGAGUUAAACAGUACGUGAAAUUGCUGAAAGGGAAACGCUUGAAGUCAGUCGCGUUGUUUGGAACUCAGCCUUGCUUUUUGCUUGGUGCACUUUCUGAAUGACGGGCCAGCAUCGAUUUUGACUGUUGGAAAAGGGCUGGGGGAAUGUGGCACCUUUGGGUGUGUUAUAGCCUCCUGUCGCAUACAGCGGUUGGGAUCGAGGAAUGCAGCGCGCCGCAAGGCAGGGGUUUGCCCACUUUCGCGCUUAGGAUGCCGGCAUAAUGGCUUUAAACGACCCGUCUUGAAACACGGACCAAGGAGUCUAACAUACCUGCGAGUGUUUGGGUGGAAAACCCGAGUGCGUAAUGAAAGUAAAAGUUGAGACCUCUGUCGUGGAGGGCAUCGACGCCCGGACCUGACGUUCUCUGAAGGAUCCGCGGUGGAGCAUGUAUGUUGGGACCCGAAAGAUGGUGAACUAUGCCUGAAUAGGGUGAAGCCAGAGGAAACUCUGGUG
rnacentral:rRNA from 1 species